GACGUAGGGUGCGAGCGUUGUCCGGAUUUAUUGGGCGUAGAGAGCUCGUAGGCGGCUCGUCGCGUCGACCGUGAAAACUUGGGGCUUAACCCUAAGCUUGCGGUUGAUACGGGCGGGCUAGAGUUCGGUAGGGGAGUCUGGAAUUCCUGGUGUAGCGGUGAAAUGCGCAGAUAUCAGGAGGAACACCGGUGGCGAAGGCGGGACUCUGGGCCGAUACUGACGCUGAGGAGCGAAAGCGUGGGGAGCAAACAGG
rnacentral:rRNA from 1 species